GCCAGCAGCCAUAUCACCCUGCAACUCACAACUGUCAGCCCACUGAAGCUCAGCAGGUAUGAGCCUGAUCAGUACUUGAAUGGGAGACUCCUGGGAAAAACUAAGGUUGCUGCUGGAA
rnacentral:rRNA from 1 species